GUUGAAAAGAGAUCGCAGCCUUAUUCGGACGUGUCUCAACAUUACUCUGUACUUGUUCUGAAUAAAGUUCUUUGGUUCGUUCGGAAAAGUAAAUGUGUGUUUUCUCUUCCGUUUGAAAAAUGGCAGAAAAUAAUAUAGAGUCGUUGAACGCGGAGUGAAGAACAGAGAGCGAAUCUAUAUGGAUACUUGGGAGAAAGAGGAAUAAGAUGUUUCCUAAAAUUAGAAAACGAGAGGAUUUAGUCACUAGCGUAUACAUAUAACAAAGGUGAUUGUAUUCAAUAGAAAUGGGAAAGAGAAGGAAAAAUGGAAGUGGGAAAAUGAGGAGUUAGAAAAGGAUGGCAUUCUUCUCACUCAGCGCUACGUAGCGUGUCAUUUCGUAAACAACAUCCACUGUUUUAUGAAUAAAAAUAGUUCGUCAAGAGCGCGGAAGAAAGCGAGAUUUUGCCAUCGACAUAUAAUACUAAACUGAAAUAUGUCAGUCUAUAAAAGAGACUGAGGAGGAUAGAAUUAUGAAAACUCUUAUUUAAGAAAGGUAAUGUUUUAAUUAAAUUAAAUUUAUUUUAGAUAAAGUA